UCCAAUUUGGCAGAAAUUAAAUGUGAUAAAUUUAGAAUUUAUUUAUGAUUAUUCAAUUGGAA
rnacentral:tRNA from 1 species